rnacentral:lncRNA from 10 species
GAACAAAGCUUGCCAGGAGAUUCCUGGUUUGAAGGAGACAGCCGAUGGCUUCCAUCCCUCCAGAGGGAACCGCCAGCCUGACCUCCAUCACCACCGACAGUUUUGCCUUUUCACCCAACUGAAAUCAGAGCACGCACUCUGCCUCUCCUGGUUUCUGCCCAGCGUACUAUUUGGGACCUGUCCCUGUCCAGGCCUGUCUCCGUAGCCCUCCCCUGCCAUUGUUCAGUAGUAUUUCCCUGUCUGUUCAUCCCCUUGCUAAUGGCCAGGCCUAUUGUUGCUGGUCCUGGGCAAUGAUAUGUGAAGCGCUGUGGGUCACCUGUCUUUGAGGAGAGGCAGGGACUGAUGUGACUUUUUAUUCCCCAGUACCCCACCAGGAGCAGGCAUUGACACAGGGCCCUGGCACAUGCUGUUCUCUCAGCCAGGAGCCACUCCGCCCCCUGUCCUUGGAGUGACUGGCUCCUUCUCAGCUUUCAGGUCUCAGCCUAACCGUCACCUUCUCAGAGACACCGUCCCUGACCACUUGGUCUCACAGCAUCUCCCAUCCCUUCACCCCAGAUCUUGUUCUUUGGUUCAGUUAUCAUGGUGGGAUCCCGAUCCCACCAUGGAUCCCGAUCCAGACCCCAAGAGAGGGUUCUUGGAUCUUGGGCAAAAGGCCGAGGCGGGUGGAUCACCUGAGGUCAGGAGUUCGAGACCAGCCUGGUAAAACCCUGUCUCUACUAAAAAUACAAAAAAUUAGCCAGGUGUGGUGGCCAGUGCCUGUAGUCCCAGCUACUCGGGAGACUGAGGCAGGAGAAUCACAUGAACCUGGGAGGCGGAGGUUGCAGUGAGCCGAGAUCUCCCCACUGUACUCCAACCUGGCGACAGAGUGAGACUCCAUCAAAUAAAAAAGGGUGGUUACUCCAUAGACAUAGCAGCCAGGGCUGCUUGUUGCCCACUUUAAUGGUUAUUUCUUGAUGAUAUGCUAAACAAGGGCCUUCCCAGCCUGAGACGGAGGGCCGCCCGGACUUUCCCAACUGCUGGCCCUGCUCCCGGCAGUUCAUGCCUCCCCUUUUUAGGUUAUAUAGGGCAACUUCCUGGCGUUGCCAUGGCAUCUGUGAACUGUCGUGGCGCUGGUGGGAGUGUAGCAGUGAGGACGACCAGAGGUUACUCUCAUCACUAUCUUAGUUUUGUUGGGUUUUAACCAGCUUCUUUAUAGCAACCUGUUUUAUCAGCAAGGUCUUUAUGACCUGUGCCUUGUGCCGACCUCCAGUCUCAUCCUGUGCGACUUAGAAUGCCUUAACCAUCUGGGAACGCAGCCCGGUAGGUUUCAGCCUGAUUUUACCCAGCCCCAUUCAAGAUGGAGUUGCUCUGGUUCACAUGCCUCUGACAGUGGGGCCUUUAUUGCUAUUUGCUGCCAUCUUAUCCCUGUGCUAUUUCUUUUCUGUGGUCCCCACCAGAGAUUUUGCAUCCCAGUGCCCAGCACAGGA